rnacentral:rRNA from 1 species
UACGAAGGGGGCUAGCGUUGUUCGGAAUCACUGGGCGUAAAGCGCACGUAGGCGGAUUGUUAAGUCAGAGGUGAAAUGCCAAGGCUCAACCUUGGAACUGCCUUUGAUACUGGCAAUCUCGAGUCCGGGAGAGGUGAGUGGGACUGCGAGUGUAGAGGUGAAAUUCGUAGAUAUUCGCAAGAACACCAGUGGCGAAGGCGGCUCACUGGCCCGGUACUGACGCUGAGGUGCGAAAGCGUGGGGAGCAAACAGG